CAGAAAGGGGAGUUUCAAAAAUAGGAGUUUCAAAAACUUUAAUAACUGAUUUCUAGCCUACAAUCAUCGAUGUUACUACUAAUGUGAAAACAAGACAAAAUAUGACUAUUCUUGCUCAUUUUAAGACAAUUGUCAAAUAGUUUUUACAUUCAUUACAGACGUCAAUUGUUGUACAACAUCAUGGCUACGCUGUUGGCAUCACCUUUUACAGUGGAUUUCCGCUGUUGUGGGCCUUUAACCAUCUGUCUGACUUUGUUGUUCACACAGGAGAGAGACGUGACUAUCGUGGAUCGUCUGGGGAGCCUCAACAACCUCAUGAUUCUGACGAGGCAGAGAAGAGUCUCUCCAGAUCAGAACACCUCAAGAAACACCUGCAGAGAUCCACAGGGAAGAUAACUCAUUGCUGCUCUGACUGUGGGAAGAGAUUCACCUUAUCAGACCUUAAAAAUCCAUCAGAGAAUCCACACAGGAGAGAAACCUUAUAGCUGUGAUUGGUGUGGGAAGAGUUUUGUUCAAUCUGGCUCUCUGACUUUACACCAGAGAACACACACAGGAGAGAAACCUUAUAGCUGCAAUCAAUGUGGGAAGAGUUUUACUGGAUCUGGCUCUCUGACUUCACACCAGAGAACACACACAGGAGAUAAACCUUAUAGCUGUGACCAGAGUUAAUCUGGUAAAAUAUCAGAAAAUACAUACAUGGAGUUGUUUCAUGAUAUCAAUGAAUUAAUGUCACAAUGUGGUAUGUUUUAACAUUGUAUUAGGAAUAUUUUAAUAGUCUCAAUGUAGAAGCCUAAAAGUUUGCCCCCUCAUCGAUUGAUUUCUACAUGAUAUGGAUUUUAGGCUCAGGGGAAAAAUCCAAGCUCUGAAAUGGAAGAGUACUAAUUUAUGUGAUUUAACAAAAAAAAGAGUUGUGUUACACUUACCACGUUCAUGACCCACUUGAAUCAAAAUGUAGCUAGCUGUUUUCUACAAAUUGUCCUCUAACCAGGGAUGUACACAUUACUCCCAGAUUCCGUGUGGUUUUUGAGCUGUUAGUUGUGCGCUGCCCUAAGGGACUCCCAAUCAUUGACUGUUAUGAUACAGCCUGGAUUUGAACCAGGGUCUGUAGUGACGCCUCCAGCGAGAUGCAGUGCCUUAGACCGCUGCGCCGCUCGUGUGAUAAAGGCGUGGGAUUCUGGGUAAUCCACAGCAGAUUUAUGGAGAACUUGAAAAUUGAGUGGUCCUGGGAUAGAAAUGCAUAAAAUUGACAUUACAUCAUAAAAUCCACGUUUUAAAUCACACAUUAGCUAUUUAUUUAUUUAUGUGAAAAAUAAUAUUUGAUUUAUAUACAACACUCAAAGUAGUGGAUAUGGAGCAUCUACAGCCUCAGUUACACCUGACACCUAAAUGUGACUCCUGUCAUCUGAUCACUCCAAACUGCAUUAGGUUCAGAUCUACCAGGACGGACCUUUGACAGUCUGGAUGCAGUCAGGCCACUGAAUAUAAAUAAGCAAACUGGAGAUUCCUUCAAAACGGUUGCCUACAGUUAACGUGUAGGGCACUGCAAGGUUGGGUGACCAGGGUCAUCUGGGACUGCCUCCUGGAGGAAUUCAGGUGUGUGAAGGCUACCUGUGUCCUGCUUAACUUCAUGAUGGACACAAGGACCAGGAGGGGAUCUGCAGCUCGCCGCUGUGUCCCAGAGGAGGAGUCUGCUGUUCUGCAGGAUGUUUCAAGGAUGGGGUCCAACAACGCAGCAAGAGAGGCAAUCCGUGUGCAGGAGAUCUUCACCUCCUACUUCUUCAAAGAGGGUGCUGUUCCCUGGCAACACCAUAGACUACACUAUACACAACCAAAGGCUCUUUUAAGAGCCAUUCACAUUGCAAUAAGAAUAUUCUUCCAUUUACUUAGCUAUGUUAACUGCAGUUAUUCCAUUCCCAGUUUCUCUCCCUUUGAUUUCUACUUCUCAGGUGAGGGUGCUGUUUAGGUAAGGGUGUGAUGUCUGUGCAAAAAAACAAAACAGGCUAUUUUAAAUCACCCAUUUUGAAAAAAAUGUAGAACAAUUAGACACCCGAUAACCCACAACUACACACUCAUGUAUCGAUCUGAUUGUUGGAUUGUGUUGUGCAGUAAGCAGGUUCAGGUGUAUAACUGUGGCUCCUUCCACCUUCAAAGAAUAGGCAAGAGGGCCAACCAUGGAGAAUAGUAAGACACUUCAUUAUUUCUAUAACUACGCUAUAUUGUUUGUCCUUGUGGGUCCGUUCAUGUUUUUCAGCAUAAAGUACUCUGCAGCCACUUAGUGUGGUGUGGACACCAGGUGAGGCCACACACAGAUUCCUGUUGAACACAGGGUCAGUUUUAACUACCUUAUUUUCUCAAUAACAGUCUCUCUCCUUCACUUCAUCCCUCUCUCCUCUUCUCCCUAAAUCCUCUAGGUUAUAUCAGCUGUGUCGGUGAACCCCUCCUGCAUCUGAACUGGCUACAUAGAGGACACAGCAUGAUCAGAGGUAUGUUUUGAUGUGAGAGGAUGCCAACCCCCAGUCCCAUCAUCGCCACCUCACCUGCUUUUAAGAUAACAGUGUCUCUAGUCGGCCCAAUGGUUAUGUAAUUGUGAUGAACUGAGAGAACAGUUAUGUAGCACUGUGAUUCAUUAAUCAUGUGCUGCCUUCCCUGCUCCUAUGUGUUUACCUCUUUCCCUUUCUGUCUUUAACACCUCUCUCUCCUCCUCCUCUUUCCCUUUCUGUCUUUAACACCUCUCUCUCCACCUCUCUCUUCCUCUGUUUUUAUAAUUCACAACAGAUGUGUAUUGAAGUACAGAUUGAACUUGAAAAAAAUAAAUAUAUAGACUGAUA